GGAUCAGUGGCGAACGGGUGAGUAACACGUGAGCAAUCUGCCCCUGACUCUGGGAUAAGCGCUGGAAACGGCGUCUAAUACCGGAUACGAGCUGCGACCGCAUGGUCAGUAGCUGGAAAGAAUUUCGGUCAGGGAUGAGCUCGCGGCCUAUCAGCUUGUUGGUGAGGUAAUGGCUCACCAAGGCGUCGACGGGUAGCCGGCCUGAGAGGGUGACCGGCCACACUGGGACUGAGACACGGCCCAGACUCCUACGGGAGGCAGCAGUGGGGAAUAUUGCACAAUGGGCGCAAGCCUGAUGCAGCAACGCCGCGUGAGGGAUGACGGCCUUCGGGUUGUAAACCUCUUUUAGCAGGGAAGAAGCGAAAGUGACGGUACCUGCAGAAAAAGCGCCGGCUAACUACGUGCCAGCAGCCGCGGUAAUACGUAGGGCGCAAGCGUUAUCCGGAAUUAUUGGGCGUAAAGAGCUCGUAGGCGGUCUGUCGCGUCUGCUGUGAAAACCCGAGGCUCAACCUCGGGCCUGCAGUGGGUACGGGCAGACUAGAGUGCGGUAGGGGAGAUUGGAAUUCCUGGUGUAGCGGUGGAAUGCGCAGAUAUCAGGAGGAACACCGAUGGCGAAGGCAGAUCUCUGGGCCGUAACUGACGCUGAGGAGCGAAAGGGUGGGGAGCAAACAGGCUUAGAUACCCUGGUAGUCCACCCCGUAAACGUUGGGAACUAGUUGUGGGGUCCAUUCCACGGAU
rnacentral:rRNA from 1 species